rnacentral:lncRNA from 1 species
CGAGUAUAAAGGAGCUACAAUUAAACUUUUAUGAGGGGAGCUAGGAUGGAAAAUUUGGUCCAUUGUUGUAAUCUAUGUCCUGCACUUACAUUUUUUACUCUAUUCGGUGCCUUUUUUUCAAUAAUUUAUCGUUACUUUUUUUACAUAAAUUGCCAAGUUGCUCAUCCUGUCACCUCCUUUUUUUUAAUAAAAUCUCCUGCCCUGCCUUUUUUUUCAAAUUUCAAACCCAACUAAAAAUCAAAUGGUAGCUCCUAUAAUGCAUUCAAUGAAGAAAAAAAAAUAGAGACAUGGAAAACAAAUCUUUUGAUAGUUUUAUUUACAAAAAUAACCGCACAUUUAUAACAGUUAAAAAACAGUCCAUAUGAUUCCAAAAUGAGGGAUACAUUAUAGUAAUUUUUCACAGAUUAAGAACUUUUUUACCCCUCACCCCCAUUUAAAAUAGUUUGUCCCUAGUUACAAUAGAACAUACCCUGUAAGGGUAAAUUCAGUAAAAAAAAUAUAUCCUGCAAACACCAGAUCAAGUAGGGUCAUUUCUUUAUAGUUGAAAAUUUUUGCCAAUUUGUCCCUAUUCUUUAUAUUUCAGCACUACAUUAUUGUAUAUAUAUAUAUAUAUAUGCCUAGUUUUCUCCACUAGGGUGCCAAGCAUUUUUAUUUGGAUCAAAGUUCCACAAUUUAGAUGCAACAGUUUCGUCCUAUUUUGUGAUGUCAAGGCCUUUAAUAGCUUAUUUACUCAUUCUAUAGAAGACUGUACCUGUGAAAUAUAGUAGGCUAGCAGCUUAUAUCUCUGAUAGAUAGCUGUCUCAUUGGCAAUAAUACAACAUCUAAUUUUUAUGCAACAAAAAAUAAUGGUAUUCUUUGGUUUAACUAUAUGUGAUUAUUUUUCUCUUUCAAGUUAUUGUGAUUGCUACAGUUUCCUAUCGCAGGUCGGUGGUUUUCUAUAAGGACACUCCGGCUUCUUCCACCCAAAAAACUGGCCGCCACGAAUAAGCCUAAAAGUGGCGCUUAAAAGUGGCGUUAACACUCCACCAAUCAAUCAAUCAAUCAAAUAAUUGGAGGUCAAACACAAUCAUAAUGAGCACAAAAUGGAAUUUAUAAUUAUUUACAACCGGUAAUUCGAACUUUUAAUCCUUGCACAUCACAUACAAUAAAUUUCCAGAACGAGGGUUU